rfam:Hordeum vulgare subsp. vulgare, WGS project CAJW01000000 data, contig: morex_contig_230046
GUGGUACUCCCUCCGUCCCAAAAUUCUUGUCUUAGGUUUAUUUAAAAAUAAAUGUAUCUACAUAAUAAAAUUUGACUAGAUACAUUCAUAUCUAGACAAACCUAAGACAAGAAUUUUAGGACGGAGGGAGUACAUG